rnacentral:rRNA from 1 species
AGUGAACGCUGGCGGUAGGCCUAACACAUGCAAGUCGAACGGCAGCACAGUAAGAGCUUGCUCUUACGGGUGGCGAGUGGCGGACGGGUGAUGAAUACAUCGGAAUCUACUUUUUCGUGGGUGAUAACGUAGGGAAACUUACGCUAAUACCGCAUACGACCUACGGGGGAAAGCAGGGGAUCUUCGGACCUUGCGCGAUUGAAUGAGCCGAUGUCGGAUUAGCUAGUUGGCGGGGUAAAGGCCCACCAAGGCGACGAUCCGUAGCUGGUCUGAGAGGAUGAUCCGCCAGCCUGGAACUGAGACACGGUCCAGACUCCUACGGGAGGCAGCAGUGGGGAAUAUUGGACAAUGGGCGCAAGCCUGAUCCAGCCAUACCGCGUGAGUGAAGAAGGCCUUCGGGUUGUAAAGCCCUUUUGUUGGGAAAGAAAAGCAGCAGGUUAAUACCCCGCUGUUAUGACGGUACCCAAAGAAUAAGCCCCGGCUAACUUCGUG